UACGUAGGGUGCGAGCGUUGUCCGGAAUUAUUGGGCGUAAAGGGCUCGUAGGCGGUCUGUCGCGUCGGGAGUGAAAACUCAGGGCUUAACCCUGAGCCUGCUUCCGAUACGGGCAGACUAGAGGUAUGCAGGGGAGAACGGAAUUCCUGGUGUAGCGGUGGAAUGCGCAGAUAUCAGGAGGAACACCGGUGGCGAAGGCGGCUCUCUGGACCACAACUGACGCUGAGGCGCGAAAGCUAGGGGAGCAAACAGG
rnacentral:rRNA from 1 species